CCAGGGCUUUGCUUCACUGUGUCUGGCCCCGCCCACCAUAGUCUGAGUAGUCUGCGUGUAUCAGGCCAGUUUCCUCUUCCUGCUCCCUUACUGGUCCUCAUUGUGACUGCCCUGGGCUGCCUGCUCCCACCUCACUGUCCCAGGGUCGGCUCCUGCUCUUCAGGAAGGAGCAGUGAAUCAACACAUUUUAUUGGGAGGAAGAAGAGGUGGUAGACUGGGUGAUAGGAUGGGACAGGAAGACACAUGUCAGGGACCCAGCAGAUCUUCUUCAACACAUGGGACAUAUGAAUGAAAGGCAAAAUGUGUCGCUUCAGACAUCUCUGUGAAGACAUCAACGAUAUUCUUCUCCCCAUCGUACCAUCAAUAUGGACCAACAAUUACUGCUUCAACUUCUUUGGAUGGUCUCCUGUCCUUGACCAGAAAGUUUAUCAUCCCUUCAGACUUGAUAAGAAGAUUGCAUCCUAGAAAGAAGAUUCCAAAUAUGACUGUCAGGGACAGGACACACAUUACUGCUAUCUGGACCACUCUCAUGAUAAAGAGGUUCCUCUCGUCCGUAGAGGGUACUUCAAACCCAUCAUCUGUUACCACUGAUGCCUGGGUGCAGCAUCCCAGUAUGCUGCCUAAAGAGUUGCUGCUGUUUGUGAGCAGGAAUACAGCAUCUGUCUGGUUCAUGAUCCCAAACUUCUAUUGUAGUAGCAAAAAGUUGAACAGGUGGUCCAGCUGGAACUGGCAGGAAAAAAAAAUUAAAGAAAAGAACCCAUUAAUCAUUGGAUUUGUGUUCUCCUCCCUCUCCUGCUAUUUCAGCACUGAGGCUUGUUAUGUUAUAACAAAGAAUAAAGCUGUUUAGUUUCCUCACAGUC